AGAGUUUGAUUCUGGCUCAGGAUGAACGCUAGCGACAGGCUUAACACAUGCAAGUCGAGGGGCAGCAUAAAAGUAGCAAUACUUGGUGGCGACCGGCGCACGGGUGAGUAACGCGUAUGCAACCUACCUAUCAGGAGGGGAAUAACCCGGCGAAAGUCGGACUAAUACCGCAUAAAACAGGGGCACCGCAUGGUGAUAUUUGUUAAAGAAAUUCGCUGAUAGAUGGGCAUGCGUUCCAUUAGGUAGUUGGUGAGGUAACGGCUCACCAAGCCGACGAUGGAUAGGGGAACUGAGAGGUUGGUCCCCACACUGGUACUGAGACACGGACCAGACUCCUACGGGAGGCAGCAGUGAGGAAUAUUGGUCAAUGGGCGAGAGCCUGAACCAGCCAAGUCGCGUGAAGGAAGAAGGAUCUAUGGUUCGUAAACCUCUUUUGCAGGGGAAUAAAGUGCAGGACGUGUCCUGUUUUGUAUGUACCCUGAGAAUAAGGAUCGGCUAACUCCGUGCCAGCAGCGGC
rnacentral:rRNA from 1 species